AGACCCGAAACCCGGUGAUCUAGCCAUGGGCAGGUUGAAGGUUGGGUAACACUAACUGGAGGACCGAACCGACUAAUGUUGAAAAAUUAGCGGAUGACCUGUGGCUGGGGGUGAAAGGCCAAUCAAACCGGGAGAUAGCUGGUUCUCCCCGAAAGCUAUUUAGGUAGCGCCUCGUGAAUUCAUCUCCGGGGGUAGAGCACUGUUUCGGCUAGGGGGCCAUCCCGGCUUACCAACCCGAUGCAAACUGCGAAUACCGGAGAAUGUUAUCACGGGAGACACACGGCGGGUGCUAACGUCCGUCGUGAAGAGGGAAACAACCCAGACCGCCAGCUAAGGUCCCAAAGUCAUGGUUAAGUGGGAAACGAUGUGGGAAGGCCCAGACAGCCAGGAUGUUGGCUUAGAAGCAGCCAUCAUUUAAAGAAAGCGUAAUAGCUCACUGGUCGAGUCGGCCUGCGCGGAAGAUGUAACGGGGCUAAACCAUGCACCGAAGCUGCGGCAGCGAACGUAUCACCCAAGACAACUUUACGGAGUUGACGAUUGACGGAGCGAAGCGACGUCAAAGCGUUCAUUAAAGUCGAGUUGGCUUAGGGAUACGUUCGUUGGGUAGGGGAGCGUUCUGUAAGCCUGUGAAGGUGUGUCGUGAGGCAUGCUGGAGGUAUCAGAAGUGCGAAUGCUGACAUAAGUAACGAUAAAGCGGGUGAAAAGCCCGCUCGCCGGAAGACCAAGGGUUCCUGUCCAACGUUAAUCGGGGCAGGGUGAGUCGACCCCUAAGGCGAGGCCGAAAGGCGUAGUCGAUGGGAAACGGGUUAAUAUUCCCGUACUUGGUGUUACUGCGAAGGGGGGACGGAGAAGGCUAUGUUGGCCGGGCGACGGUUGUCCCGGUUUAAGGGUGUAGGUGUGUGUUCCAGGUAAAUCCGGUUCACUUUAACACUGAGGCGUGACGACGAGGCACUACGGUGCUGAAGCAACAAAUGCCCUGCUUCCAGGAAAAGCCUCUAAGCAUCAGGUAACACGAAAUCGUACCCCAAACCGACACAGGUGGUCAGGUAGAGAAUACCAAGGCGCUUGAGAGAACUCGGGUGAAGGAACUAGGCAAAAUGGUGCCGUAACUUCGGGAGAAGGCACGCUGACACGUAGGUGAAGUGAUUUACUCAUGGAGCUGAAGUCAGUCGAAGAUACCAGCUGGCUGCAACUGUUUAUUAAAAACACAGCACUGUGCAAACACGAGAGUGGACGUAUACGGUGUGACGCCUGCCCGGUGCCGGAAGGUUAAUUGAUGGGGUCAGCGUAAGCGAAGCUCCUGAUCGAAGCCCCGGUAAACGGCGGCC
rnacentral:rRNA from 1 species